GCAGAGUGAUUGAAAGCAUUUAAAAAAUUAUGUCAUAUCCUUCUCUUCCACGCCGUGGCAAUGUUUCUGGAUGCUUCAUUUUGAUGAAAACGAGGGGAGCAGCCUGGAAGAUGGCGGAGGCCUGGAGGUGUCAUCAAGGCCUAGGAUCAUCCUUACUGCUGGUUCAGAGAGCUCCCACUGCCCCUUGCAGCUGCAGUCAGACGCAUCUAUAACGGUGAGAAGCAGAGAAGAAAGGAAGGCAAGAGCACAGGAAAGAAGGGAAGAAGAGAGUGAGAAAGAUGAACCUAAUAUUACAUAUCAGAAUACUCAAGAUUUACUAAAAAAUGUUAUA